rnacentral:rRNA from 1 species
CCUGAUCCAGCAUGCCGCGUGUGUGAAGAAGGCCUGCGGGUUGUAAAGCACUUUAAGCAGGGAGGACGGGUUGCGGGGCUAAUACCCUUGUGACUUGACGUUACCUGCAGAAUAAGCACCGGCUAACUUCGUGCCAGCAGCCGCGGUAAU